rnacentral:rRNA from 1 species
CACUCCUGCGGAAGGCAGCAGUGGGGAAUUUUGGACAAUGGGCGAAAGCCUGAUCCAGCAAUGCCGCGUGCAGGAUGAAGGCCUUCGGGUUGUAAACUGCUUUUGUACGGAACGAAAAAGCUCCUUCUAAUACAGGGGGCCCAUGACGGUACCGUAAGAAUAAGCACCGGCUAACUACGUGCCAGCAGCCGCGGUAAUACGUAGGGUGCGAGCGUUAAUCGGAAUUACUGGGCGUAAAGCGUGCGCAGGCGGUUAUGUAAGACAGAUGUGAAAUCCCCGGGCUCAACCUGGGAACUGCAUUUGUGACUGCAUGGCUAGAGUACGGUAGAGGGGGAUGGAAUUCCGCGUGUAGCAGUGAAAUGCGUAGAUAUGCGGAGGAACACCGAUGGCGAAGGCAAUCCCCUGGACCUGUACUGACGCUCAUGCACGAAAGCGUGGGGAGCAAACAGGAUUAGAUACCCUAGUAGUCCCAUGA